CGGUUUUGUGGCAGGCGCAGGUGGGAGGCAAACCCAUCUGGAAAGGCGCCUGUUUUAAAGGACAACAGAUGAAAAAGCAUCUUGGAGCCGGACGUACCUGAGAGCAGCGGCUAAGGCCUGCCCUUCCUGGUCCUUGAUUCCCUAACCUCGGUGUAGGAGUGUUUGGCGGGUUUCAGGGAAAAGAAAGCAAGGAGGGCGAGCAAGUCCUAAAGAGUCAGGGGACUCCCUCAGAGAGAUGCAGCUGAUGGAGGCCUAGCCCAGAUUCGGGACUGCAAACUUCCGGAGCUUUUUGAACAUCAGCACACUCCUGAUACCGCCUCCUUCCACUGUAUAUUGGACUCUCUGCUCCCACGGGAAGGGAGGGAACCCAGGAGCAGAGGGCGGCGGAAAGCAACCGAGAAGGAAUCACUCCGAAGCUCCUGCGGAAAUUCAUAUUCCGUGUAUGUUCCUCCUUCGUCUAGAAUAAAUCCUGCAGGCCUCCCCACGCAAAGCCGGCGGCGUUUAUUUAUUUGCAUGUCAUGCUUAUAAUGCGGUGGAAAGCAAGACGGAUCUUCCAGGAGGGGAGGCGACGGCGCUCACCUUUCAGGCUCUCUCCCCUAAAUAAAAAAGAAUUGACCGGCGGGGCGCCUAAGAAUUUAUCUUGAGUUUGCGGUCAUUACCUCUAUUAUAUGGCCCCAGCAAUAAAUAAGUCGGGUAGUUACUACCCAACAAUAAAACUGUAGUGUGUGGGACACCUUACUAUUACUUUCUUAAUAAUCUGUCGCUUCUUUCCCUUUAAAUCUUCCAGUCUUGUCUUUUCACUCUUUUACAAGGAUCUAUCUUCACCCCUUGAGGUACCAGCUCUCUGGGAUCAUUUUUAUAUUUCGUGAACACAAUAAUUUUUCUUGUCUAAGACUUACUGUUUUUUCCUAUUCCCGGCUGCUUAAUCUGCUUCAAGACAAAGGGUCGGCCAGCCGGGAUCAAAUAUCUUUUUCUUUUCCCCCUCUCUUAUUUUAACUACGUUGUGCGUCCCAUUAAUGAGACAUCCCCGCCUUCCCCGGGUCGCAGCCACCCGUGGGGGCUCUGGGAGGAACGAUGCACUCAAGUUCGGAGUGAGGUGACGGCUCCCAGGGAGAAGGUCUGAGCCCGCUCUCACACAUCCUCUGGAGCGAAUACGGUAUCAAGCAAAAGGGGAGUUUGCCCAGAGUAAUUCUCCUGUGUGGCUGGCGGGGUGGCUGCUCUUGGGGAUCCCACUCUUUCCACUUUCUGGUUGGCGCUCCACGCGGGCACAGUGCGCCACGCGUGGACGCGAGCGCCCGCAGCCUGGACAGUCCUGGGAAAUCAAACUCGCCACGCGGCGCUUCCUCGGCAUCGCGAAGCCCCAGUCCUGCACCCAGGCUUGGGCCCGGACGGGGGGCGACCCAAGGCAGAAGAGGGGCGUUCCCCCGGCUGCUGGCUGCGCUCGCACUUGAACUCCCUGGGAAGCCCUGCCCGCUUCCCGGCUGCAGCCUCAGCAGCCACUCGCAGCCCGGCGCGAGGCGUUGUCCAGUCCCCGCCGGAGCCCCGAAGAGCCCCAGGGGCCCUCCGCCCUAGGGGCAAGGAGCUGAGCCACCGAGCCGCCGGCGCUUUGUCAAAGCACAGUCAGUUCUCUCGGAGGCUCCAAAAGUGACUCGCACCCCGGAGGAAAGGACUGCGAGCGCCCCUCGGAGUUGGGGUGGCCCGUGAGGAGGGUGCGGGAGAUUAGAGGCAAAUGGGCAGUUACCGCGUGGGGAGGAAAGAAAGGAGCGGGACCUGCGUGGCUUUCCCUUUUGUCUCAACACUGUAGGUUCCUCAACAGCAGCAGGUUCAUACAGCCAGCCCCCCACCUAGCAAGGUUUCUAUUUCUAAGACUUAGAUCACUGAUAAAACCAGAACUCAUGGUGGGGGUGUAGAGAGGAGAGA